rnacentral:misc_RNA from 1 species
AUGAUCCACAUCAUUUCCGAACUCAGAUGGAAAGAAUCUCUUGACAUUCCCGGCCUCUUUAAUCGCAUCAAUAAUCUUAGUCUGAUCCGCCAGCUGGGCAUGCCCCACUGUCGAUAUCACCACAUCCACCUCCUUAAUUGCCUUCACCAAACUCGCAUGAUCGUACAAAUCGCCAUAGAGAAGCGUAACGCCGGAGGUUUUGAAUCCCUCGAUGAGCUUGGCCUUGUCGGGAUUGGAAGCGGCUGUGGUUUCCCUCACCAGGGCGAAGGUCAGGUGCCCGGACCGCGCGCUGGCCUCGACGAUGAACUUGCCAAUGUAGCCGGUCCCGCCGAUGAUCAGGAUCUUGCUAUUCUCCCCGGCCAUGUUGAUGAGUUGAU